rnacentral:lncRNA from 1 species
CUCUCCCACUCCUGCUUUCCCUCCCACUCUCUCUGUAACUCCCUCGCUCUUCUCAUCCUCCUGUGACUUAGUUUGCUGUGCGCAACAACUGGCAGAGCUCUCUGCUGUUCUCCGGCAAGCGUGGUCUUUGGCAUGGGAGGGGAUCCUGCACGUCGUUUGGGCACAUGGUCUUACGGCAGGGACAGAAGGAACCUGGAGGAACAGAAGAGAGGCAUCCUAUGCCUUCCCCAUCACUGCCGGCUCAUGGCAGCGGACGAAUGGGCGGCUUUGUGUUCAGCGGGUGCUGAGAGAUCUCUAGGAUUUGGCCUGCGAGCACUUCCGCCCCCAGAGGCCGGGCUGGACCG